rnacentral:snRNA from 1 species
UUGGCUCAUCGGUCAAGCGUAGUAUCUGUUUUUAUCAAUUUAUAAUCUGAUACAUCUCAUAGCUGGGCGCCAUAUAUUAAAUUGCUUUUUGAAACAGGGAGAUGGAGUAGGGGCUUGCUCCGUCUACUCCACGCAUUGACCCAGUAUUGCAUUGCUUCUGGGAACGGUGCACCCCAC